CCCCUUAGAGUUUGAUCCUGGCUCAGGAUGAACGCUGGCGGCGUGCCUAACACAUGCAAGUCGAGCGAUUCUCUUCGGAGAAGAGCGGCGGACGGGUGAGUAACGCGUGGGUAACCUGCCCUGUACACACGGAUAACAUACCGAAAGGUAUGCUAAUACGAGAUAAUAUGCUUUUAUCGCAUGGUAGAAGUAUCAAAGCUUUUGCGGUACAGGAUGGACCCGCGUCUGAUUAGCUAGUUGGUAAGGUAACGGCUUACCAAGGCGACGAUCAGUAGCCGACCUGAGAGGGUGAUCGGCCACAUUGGAACUGAGACACGGUCCAAACUCCUACGGGAGGCAGCAGUGGGGAAUAUUGCACAAUGGGCGAAAGCCUGAUGCAGCAACGCCGCGUGAGCGAUGAAGGCCUUCGGGUCGUAAAGCUCUGUCCUCAAGGAAGAUAAUGACGGUACUUGAGGAGGAAGCCCCGGCUAACUACGUGCCAGCAGCCGCGGUAAUACGUAGGGGGCUAGCGUUAUCCGGAAUUACUGGGCGUAAAGGGUGCGUAGGUGGUUUCUUAAGUCAGAGGUGAAGGGCUACGGCUCAACCGUAGUAAGCCUUUGAAACUGGGAAACUUGAGUGCAAGAGAGGAGAGUGUAAUUCCUAGUGUAGCGGUGAAAUGCGUAUAUAUUAGGAGGAACACCAGUUGCGAAGGCGGCUCUCUGGACUGUAACUGACACUGAGCACGAAGCGUGGGGAGCAAACAGGAUUAGAUACCCUGUACUCCACGCCGUAACGAUGAGUACUAGCUGGUCAGGAGGUACCCCCGUGCGGGUGGCGCAGCUAACGCAAUAGUACUCGCCUGGGUAGUACGCUCGCAGAUGAACUCAGGUAUUGACGGGACCGCCAGUACGAAACUGUGUGUUCAUAGAGCACGAGAUCUACAUCGAGACUCCUAAUCGCGG
rnacentral:rRNA from 1 species